AGUGAACGCUGGCGGUAGGCCUAACACAUGCAAGUCGAACGGCAGCACAGUAAGAGCUUGCUCUUACGGGUGGCGAGUGGCGGACGGGUGAGGAAUACAUCGGAAUCUACUUUUUCGUGGGGGAUAACGUAGGGAAACUUACGCUAAUACCGCAUACGACCUACGGGUGAAAGCAGGGGAUCUUCGGACCUUGCGCGAUUGAAUGAGCCGAUGUCGGAUUAGCUAGUUGGCGGGGUAAAGGCCCACCAAGGCGACGAUCCGUAGCUGGUCUGAGAGGAUGAGCAGCCACACUGGAACUGAGACACGGUCCAGACUCCUACGGGAGGCAGCAGUGGGGAAUAUUGGACAAUGGGCGCAAGCCUGAUCCAGCCAUACCGCGUGGGUGAAGAAGGCCUUCGGGUUGUAAAGCCCUUUUGUUGGGAAAGAAAAGCAGCAGGUUAAUACCCCGCUGUUCUGACGGUACCCAAAGAAUAAGCACCGGCUAACUUCGU
rnacentral:rRNA from 1 species